AACUCCUACGGGAGGCAGCAGUGAGGAAUAUUGGUCAAUGGCCGAGAGGCUGAACCAGCCAAGUCGCGUGAAGGAAGAAGGAUCUAUGGUUUGUAAACUUCUUUUAUAGGGGAAUAAAGUGGAGGACGUGUCCUUUUUUGUAUGUACCCUAUGAAUAAGCAUCGGCUAACUCCGUGCCAGCAGCCGCGGUAAUACGGAGGAUGCGAGCGUUAUCCGGAUUUAUUGGGUUUAAAGGGUGCGUAGGUGGUGAUUUAAGUCAGCGGUGAAAGUUUGUGGCUCAACCAUAAAAUUGCCGUUGAAACUGGGUUACUUGAGUGUGUUUGAGGUAGGCGGAAUGCGUGGUGUAGCGGUGAAAUGCAUAGAUAUCACGCAGAACUCCGAUUGCGAAGGCAGCUUACUAAACCAUAACUGACACUGAAGCACGAAAGCGUGGGGAUCAAACAGGAUUAGAUACCCUGGUAGUCCACGCAGUAAACGAUGAUUACUAGGAGUUUGCGAUACAAUGUAAGCUCUACAGCGAAAGCGUUAAGUAAUCCACCUGGGGAGUACGCCGGCAACGGUGAAACUCAAAGGAAUUGACGGGGGCCCGCACAAGCGGAGGAACAUGUGGUUUAAUUCGAUGAUACGCGAGGAACCUUACCCGGGUUUGAACGUAGUCUGACCGGAGUGGAAACACUCCUUCUAGCAAUAGCAGAUUACGAGGUGCUGCAUGGUUGUCGUCAGCUCGUGCCGUGAGGUGUCGGCUUAAGUGCCAUAACGAGCGCAACCCUUAUCACUAGUUACUAACAGGUGAAGCUGAGGACUCUGGUGAGACUGCCAGCGUAAGCUGUGAGGAAGGUGGGGAUGACGUCAAAUCAGCACGGCCCUUACGUCCGGGGCGACACACGUGUUACAAUGGCAUGGACAAAGGGCAGCUACCUGGCGACAGGAUGCUAAUCUCCAAACCAUGUCUCAGUUCGGAUCGGAGUCUGCAACUCGACUCCGUGAAGCUGGAUUCGCUAGUAAUCGCGCAUCAGC
rnacentral:rRNA from 1 species